GAUCAUUGAGCGGGCAAAGCGUCUCCUCUCGGUCCAUGGCGUUCUUCCUCCUUCAACCGCCCUCGCGGCUUCCCCUCCCUCGAUCCCGUGCUCCCUUCUCCCGUCCGCCAUUUUCUUCUUCUUGCAAGACCUUCGCCACCAUCAGGUCGAGCCUUCCCUUCCUUCCGGAGAAGGCCAAGUUCUACAGAGAGCUGGAAGCUGCCGUCGAUGUUGUGGAGAGAGCUUGCCGCCUCUGCGUCGAUGUGAAGAAGGCGCUGCUGUCCGAUAAAGGCCGGAUUCUUGAAAAGAACGAUCAGACGCCUGUAACAAUCGCGGACUUUGGCGUGCAAGCGCUGAUCAGCUUGGAGCUGAAGAGACUUUUUCCAUCUAUACCAUUGGUGGCCGAAGAAGACUCCGGUUUCUUAAGAUCAAAUUCUGGAGAUCUGCAGAGAGUUCAUGGCCACGAUGGUAACUCCCUUGUGAACUUGGUGUUGACUGCAGUUGCUGAUAAAGCCACUGGUGCUGAUGAUCCUUUAACUUCUGAUGUUGUGUUGGAGGCUAUUGAUAGAGGGGGGAAGGAUGCAGUCUCUUUUGAUGCACAGCCUGCUACUUAUUGGGUGCUUGACCCCAUUGAUGGUACUCGGGGUUUCUUGAAGGGCAAUGAUGCACUAUAUGUGGUGGGCUUGGCUCUUGUUGUUGAUGGAAAAAUUGUACUAGGUGUGAUGGGCUGUCCGAACUGGAAAGUAGACAUUCUUUCAUCUGGGAUUCAUGAUAGGAAAACUGGUGACUGUGAAACAGGGAUAAUCAUGAUUGCUCAUGAAGGCUGUGGAACAUGGACAAGGAAAUUUUUUGAUGGCAUGGACAAAUUUUUAAGCAUGCAGGGUGGUUGGCAGCAAUGCUUUGUCGAUAGCUGCUAUAUGGUGCAUGAGGCACGUUUUUGUAUCCCUGAUAGUCAAACCUGGGAUUUAAUUCCCCUGUCAGCAUUUUUUAGUUCAACUGUUGAUGAUACCAAAGAUAGAGAUAGAGGAACGAUACUUCUAUUGCCAACUUGUUGUGGCAGUUUGUGCAAGUACCUUAUGGUGGCAUCUGGAAGAGCUUCUGUUUUCAUUCUGCGAGCCAGGGCUCAAACCAGUAUUAAGGUUUGGGAUCAUGCUGUAGGAGUUAUCUGCAUACAGGAAGCAGGAGGAAAAGUCACGGAUUGGAUUGGAACUGAGCUAGACCUUGCAGCUGAUGAAGCAGGCCGGAGAAUCAUAUACCCGUCAGGUGGUGUGCUUGUGACAAAUGGAAGAUUACACAACCAGCUACUGGAGAUGAUCUCAUCCAAUUUCCGUGUCAUUCGACAUGCAUAAAAUACAUUUUCCGUAACCUCUUAAUUUGGAAUUAUUGAUGAAAGGAAUGAUAUUUCUCAGAGAUUUUGGAUGGCCCUUGGUAUUCCAUGUUUUUGGUUCUCACAUGGUACCUAAAAGAGUGUUUCAGAGGCAAUUUAUGAGCAAGAAACUUGCUUCAAGAGAAUUUGCACCAGUUUCCACUCACUGGGAGUAGUGAAUGAAGUAAAGAAUCGAUGGGCGCUAUGAAAUUUCAGAAGCUUGUCGAGUUGAGAAUCUAUAAGAUCAGAAGUCUAAUCAGGGAAGAAUGUAUCCGUGGACGUUAAACAUGACCCAUCAUAACAGUGAAGAGCCAAUCACAGGAAAACAUAUAUUGUUUCCCGCACCCACAGCAAACUUGGCAGCUUUUUUCCGAGAGGAGAGAAAGAAAGCAGUAUUCGCGUCCGCAGCUGGACGAAGAUGAGGAUUGCAAGAAAGGUAUGGAUGGAAGGCAUGGAGCGUGAUCAAGUGAGCUUCCUUGGGACGAUGGGCACGCACGCACUUGGUCGUGUGAAUCGGUGGCGAGGGCAGAUUCCAAGAGCGCACUGCCUCGCAACAGCCCUCCCGAGAGA